UCCAAGCACUGAGUAACCCUAUCAAUUUUCUCUCAUUACUUCAAAUCCUGUCCUGCCCUCAGUGGAGGAGCUGAGCUCUUCUCUAACACCAUCCAUCCACGAUGAGCCUGUCCUGCACUGAAGCCUACAG